rnacentral:lncRNA from 1 species
CUGCAGUUGGAGUCGGAGACGAAGUCCGGCUCCCGUAGGAGUCCGGACGAAGUUUGCCUGCAGUCGGAGAUGAAGUCCGGUUCCCGUAGGAGUCCGGACGAAGUUUACCUGCAGUCGGAGUCGGGGACGAAGUCCGGCUCCCGUAGGAGCCCGGACGAAGUCUUCCUGCAGUUGGAGUCGGAGACGAAGUCCGGCUCCCGUAGGAGUCUGGACGAAGUUUACCUGCAGUCGG